GGCGGCGUGUUUCCCGAGCCGGCGGACACGCGGCGUGUUGUAGGUAUAUACGCGCGCGUAUAUAAAGUGCUCCUGGUUUAUGAGAUCACGACGGCGGCAGUGGCGGUGGCGGAGACACGAUGCGCGAAUAUAUAGAUUCGUAGUCGCACGCACAUCAACAAUAUGAAUGCAAUUAUUAACGAAGGAUUAUAUCUAUCAGAGCUGCACGGAACUAAAGACUGAAAUAUUUUUUAUGCACCUACAAUGUCUUAGCACCUUCAAGCUUCAAGAAAAGUUAUUGAGUCCUGCAAGUGAUAAGACGGUAAGGAAUUAUUUUUAUAUAAGUCUUGGUCAGUGCAAGUAAGCUAAACCAAAGAUGUCUAAACCAGGUAAGAUGAUUUUAUGUAUUUUGUAAAAUGUAUAUAUUAAUUAAUAUUGUCGUCCCCUCACUAUUUAAUCUCUACACCAAACACAUCACCCACUAUCGCCGGCCGGCGUCACACACACAAAAUAAACACUUUGUUCCAGGACCGUAAAAAAAUGUCUAUAAAUUGGUUUCGUGACAUUUAAAACAGGUUGAAUAGAGAAGUCCAAUAGGAAUAGUGAGUGGUUGCGGAGACUUAGAAAUAGGAAUUUGGUAAUCUUUAAAUAAUAAUAAAUAAAAUAUAAUAUUAAUAAUAAUCAUAAUAUGAUAAAUAUAAUAAUAAUAUAGUUA